AGCUCCAAUAGCGUAUAUUAAAGUUGUUGCAGUUAAAAAGCUCGUAGUUGGAUUUGGGACUGGAGUCGUCGGGUCGGCCGCGAGGUCUGUUACUGGACGGCUCCGUCAUUUCAUCUCUCGGAGACCCGUCGUGCACUUCGCUGUGCGCGGCGCGGGACUCGGGACGUUUACUUUGAAAAAAUUAGAGUGUUCAAAGCGAGCGAUUGCCAUGAAUACAUUAGCAUGGAAUAAUAGAAUAGGACCUGAUCCUGUUUUGUUGGUUUGUCGGUAUUAGGUAAUGAUUAAGAGGGACGGUCGGGGGCAUUUGUAUUCCAGGGUUAGAGGUGAAAUUCUUGGAUCCUUGGAAGACAAACAGCUGCGAAAGCGUCUGCCAAGGACGUUUUCAUUGAUCAAGAACGAA
rnacentral:rRNA from 1 species